rnacentral:rRNA from 1 species
GACUCUCAGCAACAGAUAUCUCGGCUCUCGCAUCGAUGAAGAACGUAGCGAAAUGCGGUACUUGGUGUGAAUUGCAAAAUCCCGUGAACCAUCGAGUCUUUGAACGCAAGUUACGCCCUAAGCCAUUAGGGUGAGGGCACGUCUCCCUAGGUGUCA